CAGGAAACGUUUCGUGGAAUGUUUUUAAAAACAGAAGGAACGUGCUGUACCUUUUAACAAACAAUAUUUUGUUAGCUUUGAUGAUCGGUCCUGUGUCGUGACUUUUGCUUUGCUAAGACAACGGUCCAAACCAGCGAUGGAUUAUUGAAAUAUAAUGUGGCCUCUUCAUUUUCAACUGGGAAGGACCUGCAUGGACUUGAGAAUACAGAGCCAAUCGAAGUUCAAGAGGGAUCUCUCGUAUGCAGUGCUGCUCCUUUGCCUCGUCAAGGUUUGAAGAGACAGAGGACGGUGGUGCAAAAGAGAAGGAGGGCCAGCCGGGCCUCGUGGAGUUCAAUCAGUGGCAGGGUAUUUUUUAGCCUGACAGUGUAGCUGUAAUGUUAAAGUUGGUGACUUUGCUAGACGGUAAAGAUGUGCACCCGCUAAU